AGUACGAAAACGUUUAUGAUAAAUGUUAUUUUAUCGUUGUCUAAUAACAAUUUUACAAUUUAUCGUUAAUUUGAAUCGUUUAAAAUACGUCUUCAAUUAACAAUAUGAAUACGUUAAAAAUUUACGUAUGUCCAACGUACUUUUCUUACUUCCAGUAGAUUUUUUUAUUCCAAAUAAUGCAGAAAAUGUUGAUGGGCAUCUCAUUUUUUAAGAUAUUCGAUGAUUGUAGUUAUUUGUUCAUGUGAAUAUGACAAUGAUAUCGACUUUUUUUAGGAUCCACAAAACGUUGGCGAACUCUUUUCUAUCAUAGAUUUUAGUGGUUUCACGAAAAGCGGUAACUUUUAAGCACUAUGUUUGCGGUUGUGGAGUUUCUGAAUUCCGAAAUGGAAUCCACGGGUGAAAUUUCUAUAGUGCCAUUAAUUUGGCUGAU